rnacentral:rRNA from 1 species
CCGGACUGACUGCUAUCGGAUUGGUACUAAGCCAUGCGAGUCAUUGUAGCAAUACAAGGCGGACGGCUCAGUAACACGUAGUCAACCUAACCUAUGGACGUGGAUAACCUCGGGAAACUGAGAAUAAACCGCGAUAGAUCAUUAUGCCUGGAAUGGCUUAUGGUUCAAACAAUUUAUUGCCGUAGGAUGGGACUGCGGCCUAUCAGCUUGUUGGUGAGGUAAUGGCCCACCAAGGCUAUAACAGGUACGGGCUCUGAGAGGAGAAGCCCGGAGAUGGGUACUGAGACACGGACCCAGGCCCUAUGGGGCGCAGCAGGCGAGAAACCUUAGCAAUGUGCGAAAGCACGACUAGGUUAAUCCGAGUGAUUCCUGUUGAAGGAAUCUUUUGUCAGUCGUAAAACCACAGACGAAUAAGGGGUGGGCAAGUCUGGUGUCAGCCGCCGCGGUAAUACCAGCACCUCGAGUGGUCAGGAGGUUUAUUGGGCCUAAAGCAUCCGUAGCCGGCUUUGCAAGUCUCCGGUUAAAUCCAGCUGCUCAACAGAUGGGCUGCCGGAGAUACUACACAGCUAGGGAGCGGGAGAGGCAGACGGUAUUCUGUGGGUAGGGGUAAAAUCCAUUGAUCCAUAGAGGACCACCAGUGGCGAAGGCGGUCUGCCAGAACGCGUUCGACGGUGAGGGAUGAAAGCUGGGGGAGCAAACCGGAUUAGAUACCCGGGUAGUCCCAGCUGUAAACGAUGCAAACUCGGUGAUGCAUUGGCUUAUGGCCAAUGCAGUGCCGCAGGGAAGCCGUUAAGUUUGCCGCCUGGGAAGUACGGACGCAAGUCUGAAACUUAAAGGAAUUGGCGGGGGAGCACCACAAGGGGUGAAGCCUGCGGUUCAAUUGGAUCAACGCCGG